AAAUGCGAUAAGUAGUGUGCAUUGCAGAAUUCAGUGAAUCAUCGAAUCUUUGAACGCACAUUGCGCCCGCCAGUAUUCUGGCGGGCAUGCCUGUUCGAGCGUCAUUUCAACCAUCAAGCCCCCGGCUUGUGUUGGGGACCUGCGGCUGCCCGCAGGCCCUGAAAACCAGUGGCGGGCUCGCUGUCACACCGAGCGUAGUAGCAUACAUCUCGCUCAGGGCGUGCUGCGGGUUCCGGCCGUUAAAAGCCUUUUUUACCCAAGGUUGACCUCGGAUCAGGUAGGAAGACCCGCUGAACUUAAGC
rnacentral:misc_RNA from 1 species